UACGGGGGGGGCAAGCGUUGUUCGGAAUUACUGGGCGUAAAGGGCUCGUAGGCGGCCAACUAAGUCGGACGUGAAAUCCCUCGGCUUAACCGGGGAACUGCGUCUGAUACUGGAUGGCUUGAGGUUGGGAGAGGGAUGCGGAAUUCCAGGUGUAGCGGUGAAAUGCGUAGAUAUCUGGAGGAACACCGGUGGCGAAGGCGGCAUCCUGGACCAAUUCUGACGCUGAGGAGCGAAAGCCAGGGGAGCAAACGGG
rnacentral:rRNA from 1 species